AUUUCAGCUCAGGGACAAUCUUUCUCAGCAAAAUGAGGAAGGUUAGCGGCGGAUGUUAGCUCAGGGCUACUCUUACUCAAGAAAAAUAUAAAUAAAUAAAUAAAAAUGUAAAAAAUCAGUCUCAUUAUAGGUAUUAGUUUACUUUUUGACUCUGUGUUCUGUUCCAUCGAUCUGUUGACUUAACAUUACACCAAUUCCGUACUGCUUUGAACAAAAUAACUCUCUAAUAGUUCUUGAAAUGAGGUAGAGCUGGCCCUCCAACAUUGUAUUUUCAUUUUAUAAAUGUUUUCACUACGCUAGAUCUUUGUCAUUUUAUAUUCAUUUAGAAUCACAUCAUUCCUGUCUCCCUAAGAUGCUGACUGAGAUUUGAGUUGGCUGGGGUUGGAUCUAUAGACCCAAUUGGGGAAAACUGACAUCUCAAAAAUAAUGAGUCUUCUGACCCACGAACAGGGAAUUGGUCUUCAUGUUUUAGGUCGUCAUCAAUUUCUUUCACCAACGUCCUGUACUUUCGUUUGUUUGACGCUAUUAUUUCUUACAUUUCAGUUGUGCACUGGAAUUACAUAGACAUGAAAUAGAUUUUUGUAUAUUGACCGCGUAUCCUGCUAGAAACAAAUGCUUCAGAAUCAAGCCAGAUCGGGCAGAGACCACAGUUUUGGGGACUUGUGUACUUGCCAGGUGUGUGUGCUGAUGUGCAGCUUCCUGACCUCCUUUGUAAAAGUGACUGUUGGUCCAAGAGAAUACAGAAUGAAUUCUAGACAGAAUGACCGCAGAUCCCUGGCUAAACAUUUAGUGUCCACGGGGUCCAAAAUUUUGCCAAACAUGUUUUUCUAAGAUGUCCUGUUCUUCUGAGCCAACUCGUUUGCGACUCCAAAAGCCUCAAGCCAUUUUCUCUGCCAUCUUGCGGCCACUGCCAUAAAAUCUGUUUUGCCUCUUACGGCACCCACAGUGGGAUUUGUUUUGUUUCGUGGCCCUAGAGACCCAGCCGUUUUCCCGGCUUGUUUAAGCGCAUGAAGGACCUCCUGCUUCUGUAAGAUCAGUGGAAAUCAGUGGCUCUCUUCGUUAUUUGGUCUAUGCAGUCAUCAUUUGGGUCAUUUGGGGAAGGUGUUGUUUUUACAAGUCAGUGAGUGCUGCUAAAUGCAAUUGAUUUUCUCUCACUACAUGACACUACACCCCAACCAUGGAUUGUAUUCCCGAAAACAUCACUCUCUGAGUGGGAUCUUGAAAGUUUUUGAGAUUCAUUGCCGAAUCACACAUUGUUCAGUCAUUUUGAGUCCAUCUCUCUGUUUUUUCUCUUGAUACGGCUACUAUGUAAAUAAGAUCUGUGAAAUGAAACACAGGAAGGAGGCCCAUGCCAAUAUUUGGGACACUCAACUAUGACGGUUGGUCACCAGGACACUCUCUGGAGGAGAUUCUCUAGACUUUUAGUGGUGAAUAAUGUCAUGGAAACAGAAGUCGAAUAAUAAUGAAGGAUAUUUGAAAUCUGUCGAAUGUUAUAAAUCAAUGUUACCUCAUUAAAAAUAAAAGAAAAAAAUUAAAAUGAAAGAAAAAGCCUA